rnacentral:rRNA from 1 species
AUGGCCACUAGCUCGUCUUGUGGUCUGUGCGGGGCUGAGGACUCGUGGCAACACUCGCUGCUCCACUGCACGGUAGCACGGUGUGUUUGGACUCUUGAGGAUGCAGUACUGGUCGAAGCCGUGAACAACACCACAGAACCGGAUGCCAAGAGAUGGUUGUUCGCGUUAAUUGAUACGCUGCCGGACACUGAUUUCAUUCAGGUAGCAGUUACCCUUUGGGCACUUUGGUUCUCAAGGAGACAAGCAUUACAUGAUGAUAUUUUCCAAAGCCCUCUCUCAACACAUCACUUCAUCAAACGGUAUGUAAGGGAUUUGGAAGAUUGCAAGCCGAAGAGGGUUUCAGCACCUCCGGGGCAGAAUCACCAACAAGCUUCUCCAAGAUGGAUCCCUCCUCCGCCCGAGUCUGUGAAGAUACGAGUAGAUGGUGCAGUCUCAAGAAGCCAAAAUGAAGGAUCCUUCAGCGCGGUAUGUAGGGAUGCAUCGGGCCUAUACCUGGGCUCUUCCGCAAUCAGAGUCAGGGAUAUUACUGAUCCACCAACACUGGAAGCGCUGGCAUGUCGAGAGGCGCUCGCUCUGGCACAUGACCUUGGAGUGGCUCAUGUGAUCAUCGCCUCAGAUUGCCAAGGGGUUAUCAAGGAUAUCCACAAAUAGGAGGGAGGAAUGUAUGCGAGCAUAAUUAGGGAGAUUGGAGACACCGCAAGAACAAUCAGCGACUGCACCUUCAUCUUUGAGGGUAGAGCUACAAAUAUUGAGGCACAUAGCCUCGCUAAGCAUGCUUUCGGUCUGGAUUUCGGGCGCCAUGUGUGGCUUAUAAACCCGCCAGAUCUUCGUUGUAUCCCCACAAACAUCUAUGAAUUCUAA